AUGGAGGCGGUGCCUGGUGCGAAUGCUGCCAGUUAGGGGUGUCCAGUACAGUGCGGCCGGACCCCUCUGUCCAAAGCCACCAAGGGCGCCGGGAACUUUAGAGCAAGCCGUGACCCCCGUCAGGAAGUGAUUUUUCAAUGUGGUCACAAACCACAGAAAAAUGGAGAGAUGGGGCCUGUGCACAUCGGCAACAGAAAUAGAGGUUUAUGUGACAGGAGGAAGGCGGCGUGGAAAGGGGCAGCCGGUUACCAAAUGAAGAGAAACCAUCUGCCGGUUUUGAGGCAAUAGAGGCAAAGAAGAUUUUUCCAGGCCGCCCACCUUUAGAGGAGGCACUGAAUGGUGAAAGGCUGGCAGCCGCAGAGACGAGCAAUGAACGGAUCUAGGAAAAAAAGGCCAUAAAAUGGAUCAUUUUGUUGCUGCCGAAUCAAAAUUGGCACCGGGUGAAUUUCCAUCGACUCCGAGGCAUUCCGAGCAGAUUACGAAAGCCUAGAUUGGGGCAGGAGGAUUUGGGGCACACGGUUAAUCCAAGAGGCCAUGGCAAGCGCUUAGCCCAGUGCUCUGCACGCAGUGGGCACUCAGGUCCGCCGGCUCAAGUUGUUCACGGAUUCAGCAACAAAGGAUGGUGAUUCUAAGUCCUGUCCCCAUUCCCUCUUGGCUCUCCAGAGACCUUAGGAAAAAGGCCCGGGUGCUUCUCAAGGUGUUUGUCCUCCAAACUGCCCCAGGACUGAAGUGUGUGC